AUUGAACGCUGGCGGAAUGCUUUACACAUGCAAGUCGAACGGCAGCACGGACUUCGGUCUGGUGGCGAGUGGCGAACGGGUGAGUAAUACAUCGGAACGUGCCCAAUCGUGGGGGAUAACGUAGCGAAAGCUACGCUAAUACCGCAUACGAUCUAAGGAUGAAAGCGGGGGAUCGCAAGACCUCGCGCGAUUGGAGCGGCCGAUGGCAGAUUAGGUAGUUGGUAGGGUAAAGGCCUACCAAGCCGACGAUCUGUAGCUGGGCUGGGAGGAUGAUCAGCCACACUGGGACUGAGACACGGCCCAGACUCCUACGGGAGGCAGCAGUGGGGAAUUUUGGACAAUGGACGCAAGUCUGAUCCAGCCAUUCCGCGUGCAGGAUGAAGGCCCUCGGGUUGUAAACUGCUUUUGUACAGAACGAAAAGGCUCUGGUUAAUACCUAGGGCUCAUGACGGUACUGUAAGAAUAAGCACCGGCUAACUACGUGCCAGCAGCCGCCGUAA
rnacentral:rRNA from 1 species